UACGUAGGCAGCAAGCGUUGUUCGGAGUUACUGGGCGUAAAGGGUGUGUAGGCGGCCUGUUAAGUUCCGUGUGAAAUCUCCCGGCUCAACUGGGAGGGUGCGCGGAAAACUGGCGGGCUAGAGUGCGGGAUGGGAGAGUAGAAUUCCUGGUGUAGCGGUGAAAUGCGUAGAUAUCAGGAGGAAUACCGGUGGUGUAGACGGCUCUCUGGACCGUAACUGACGCUGAGACACGAAAGCGUGGGUAGCAAACAGG
rnacentral:ncRNA from 2 species